rnacentral:rRNA from 1 species
GAUGAACGCUGGCGGCGUGCCUAAUACAUGCAAGUCGAGCGAACGGACGAGAAGCUUGCUUCUCUGAUGUUAGCGGCGGACGGGUGAGUAACACGUGGAUAACCUACCUAUAAGACUGGGAUAACUUCGGGAAACCGGAGCUAAUACCGGAUAAUAUUUUGAACCGCAUUGUUCAAAAGUGAAAGACGGUCUUUCUGUCACUUAUAGCUGGAUCCGCGCUGCAUUAGCUAGUUGGUAAGGUAACGGCUUACCAAGGCAACGAUGCAUAGCCGACCUGAGAGGGUGAUCGGCCACACUGGAACUGAGACACGGUCCAGACUCCUACGGGAGGCAGCAGUAGGGAAUCUUCCGCAAUGGGCGAAAGCCUGACGGAGCAACGCCGCGUGAGUGAUGAAGGUCUUCGGAUCGUAAAACUCUGUUAUUAGGGAAGAACAUAUGUGUAAGUAACUGUGCACAUCUUGACGGUACCUAAUCAGAAAGCCACGGCUAACUACGUG